UUGCACGCUGGCGGCAGGCCUAACACAUGCAAGUCGAACGGUAACAGGAAGAAGCUUGCUUCUUUGCUGACGAGUGGCGGACGGGUGAGUAAUGUCUGGGAAACUGCCUGAUGGAGGGGGAUAACUACUGGAAACGGUAGCUAAUACCGCAUAACGUCGCAAGACCAAAGAGGGGGACCUUCGGGCCUCUUGCCAUCGGAUGUGCCCAGAUGGGAUUAGCUAGUAGGUGGGGUAACGGCUCACCUAGGCGACGAUCCCUAGCUGGUCUGAGAGGAUGACCAGCCACACUGGAACUGAGACACGGUCCAGACUCCUACGGGAGGCAGCAGUGGGGAAUAUUGCACAAUGGGCGCAAGCCUGAUGCAGCCAUGCCGCGUGUAUGAAGAAGGCCUUCGGGUUGUAAAGUACUUUCAGCGGGGAGGAAGGGAGUAAAGUUAAUACCUUUACUCAUUGACGUUACCCGCAGAAGAAGCACCGGCUAACUCCGUG
rnacentral:rRNA from 1 species